AGCCUCUUCUUUCCUCUGCGAACGCGCUGAGCAGCGAUUGAAAACGUUUUGGUCCUCUGCAGGGGCGCAUUCUGGGGUCUCUGCGCAAGACCAGCUCUCAGCUCUCUCUCCUUUCCUCGGACUCUGGAGCGGGAGCGGGCCUUUCCCUCGGGUCGACCACGCCGUAGGGGACGCCGUGAAAAGAGCCGUCGCGCCCGCUGCCUCCUGCCCGCUGCGCAGAGGGCUCCGCCCGUAGAGGUCAACUUCCCUCACCCUUUUCUCUCUCCUGCUUGCCCUCCCUCCGCCCGGCCCAGGCGCUUCCAGCCCCAGACUGUGGCCACUGGCUGAGGAGUGCGAGUCGGCUGCGCUGCCCUGAGCCUAAUCCCUCUUCCGGGCCCAGACCCGAGGUCCGCGCUCCUGGGCAGUGGGGAAGCUUUAGUGAGCAGGCUUUUCUCUCCGCAGCAAACUUGUAGCCAGACCAGAUGGGCCGCCCAGCUCUCUCGGGACUAGGCAGGUGCGGAUGAGUUAAUUUUUCCGCAUUACAAAGAAAGAUGACCCAGCCCGCCCUUGGACUCUCUUUUCCCAAAAUCUCCCAACCAAACCCGCGGUAACGUUAUCAAAGGACACAGAGCCCAGGCAUAUCUGUGUGUUUAUCUUACAGGCACACACGCAUGGUUUUCUCUUUUAUAUGCUAGAUUUCAUCCCUGACAGCAGAAAAUGAUUGGCAAUGGUUAUGACGGAGAACAUGCAAUAGCGUGGUCCUUAAAAACCUGCCAUUCCUUACAAGUGCCUUAGAAAGGAUUCAGGGCGAACCAACUGGGUUAAUUGCAUUCAGUAAAAUAACACGAUUACAAAAUUAGAUCUGUACCAGAGGGGUAAUUAACUUGGAUCCACGCCGUCAUUUGAAAACUAGAUUUAUAGGCUUAUGUAUGUUUUUAGGCGUGUGCUGUAAAUGGCAUGGAGAUAUAUGCAUAUGUAUACGCAGGCACACGCACCGUCUACACUUCCACGGAACAGACUAAUUAACAGCGGCUCUGGCAGAUGUGUCAGAGAUGAGCAGAGACAGGAGCUGGGCUUAUGAGUUAUGACUCUAGGGGUAGAGACUCAGAGCGGAGAGAGGGGGAUGGGCAGGGAGAGAAGAGUGGUAAUCGCAGUGGGUCUUAUACUUUCCGGAUCAAGAUUAGAGGCUCUGCUCUCCGUGUUCACAGCGGACCUUGAUUUAAUGUCAUACAAUUAAGGCACGCGGUGAAUGCCAAGAGCGGAGCCUACGGCUGCACUUGAAGGACACCAAAGCAUCUCAGGGUCAGAAAGGGGAAAAAGCAAUUGCAGGGAAUUUAGGGGGUAGUAAAAGGAACCCAUCUCUUGCCGCAUAAAUGCCCCCCACCCCCACCCAGGACUGAUUCUGGAAGCAACCUAGUGUUCGAAAGGGAAAGGCUCCUACUUUUCCAUUACAGCCGCGGAAAUCCGCAGGCAAAUCUCCGAGGAGAAUUUUAGGGAAGCUUCAUUGACAGCUGUCUGGAGAGCAGUAGUUCCCGCCUGUGCAAAUAUUCCAGAGAGUUAAAUCAUUUAGAAAGCACUAGUUCUUUCAAGAACAGGUAGUGUGAUUGUCUGCAGUCCUGGGCCAAGCUGGGAAAACAAAACAGCAGAGAGAGGUGUAACAUUAAAUAGCGUCCUGACCACACUGCGCAAGAAACAGCAAAUGAAACGUCCAAACUUUGGAAAGAUCUGAAGAACACUUGCCGCCCGCAUUUCCCCUUGACUUCUCCCUUUUUCUUCCCAAUCUCGAGGCGUUCAUGCCUGGCUUUAAGACGCCAAGAUAACUCUCUUGUUUUGGCAUUGUCGCAAUGUCCAAAUCGGUCAAAGGAGUGGGAUAAGGUGAAAGGACCAGGUCAGAAACUUUAGAAGGACUCGGUAAAUUAAUUUGUUUGGAAGCCAGUGAGGUGGACUAUGUUGAGGUAGCAGUUCCGCACCACGACUUUGGAGCCAAAGAAAAACCCAGGCCGAAAAAGCGAGCCUUGAUGUCUUUGUUCUGCCUUGGCCUGCAGGGGUUGGGAACAAAGGAGAGGAGCUAAGAGGAUGCACCAAAGUAGCCGCGCCCUCCCUGCCUGGCGCUGUCCGCGGUGCUGACCGUGGCCCUUUUCUCUCUCCGUAAUCAAACUGGAAAAGCAAUAGGACCGUCCCGUCCCUACUCAAAAGAAGAGUAGGAUAUUAGGUAAUUUGAAAAAUAACAUUUAAAAAGAGAAAAAGGUCACAUACAGCAAAACAAUAUUUUACUGAAAUCGUUCCCUCAAGCUGGUUGCUACCCUUGCCUGACACUUUUUGGUCUUCACGUAGGAAUGCACACAUACAUACAUUGUAAGUGUAUGGGGAAACCAUUUCCACUUUAUUUAGGCUGAAACCUAAAUCGCAGGAUUGCAAGAAGGAAAUUGAGGAGAAUGAAGGCUUUAUUAUUAUCCUUUUCUUUCUUAAAUCAUCUUCCUUAAAACAGAAACAUAAGGUCCUCAGCCGCGGAUUUUAGUGCUUACUUGGUCACCAAAGGGACGUGCAAUGGACUCAAGUGUGGGCCUCGAGGCUUAACUAGGAAGGGGUGGGUCGGGGACCCACCAGGUGAAACAGGGCAGGAGCCCAUGCAGCUUGCCACCUUCGGCCAGGCCUUGCAGCCCGGCAGCCUUAGUAGACGGGUACAGAGGGCUGAGCUCUGCAGACCGCUCUGCUGCGCAGGAGCCUGCUCGGCGCAUCCCAGCCGGCGGGAGGCACUGGAGGGCCAGGAGGCCUGAAACCCGCACUGCGGAAAAACCGACCUCAGCCACAUCCUCAUAGCUCACGCGACGGAAAGAGGCAGGGCGGUUUACUAAAUCUUAUGCAGUGAAAAUUCGCCUUAGAAAUCGAAGGUUGGAUGAGUCAGUAUUGAUAUAUUCAAAAAUCUAAAUUUCUUAGCAUAUUUCAUCGUUCUUAGAUGUUGAAAGUAUUAAAUGUAAACAAUACAAAUUUAAAUUCCCUAAGUAAUGAAUCAAAAUGGCAAGGGAGAGAGAGAGAGAGAGAGACGGAAAAUCAACCAAUUCGUAGCCACCCUGGCUGGCUAUUUCUCAAAAGAAAUUUCUAUGCAUUUGCUUGAGUUUGUCUAUAAAUUCACAAACAUAAAGGGUGUUAAAAUUAGUAACAGACAAAAUAAUUCAGGUUGGACAAUAGAGACAGCAACACCGAUUUUGAUCCAGGUAUAACAAUGGGCCAUGCAUUGACAAUGACCUAAAAGACAUGUGUUCAUUAAGUUAUUUUUUUUACACGGGAUGUAGAUGUAUCAUAAAAUUCAUGAAAUAAAGCGGCCAGGUGCAAUAUCCUCAGAGAGCUGCCUUCUCACCCCCUGCCUCAGGGCGGAUUUUAUCUGUCCUCGAAUUUUAGAACUCUGCAAGUCGGGUCUUUCACAUUCAUCGAUUACUUUGGUUUAUAUUUAAUUUUAUCCAAUUUCGGAGUGGGUGGGUAAAGCACACUGGAAAAUAGGGGCUGCUCGAAUUACAAAAUUUAAGGAUUGGGAAUAUUCCUCUUGUGCCAAUUAAAAGCAGUCGUUGGAAGCAGAAAUGAAUUUAAAGCAUUACACGUUAUCAUGGCGGCCUUGCUUUUUCCUUCCAGUAUUCAUCCAAUUGCGCUGAUCUCCUGCAUCCACAUCUUGCGUAAUCCACAAAGCAGCUAUGGUCCAGGGCUGCAAAAUCGUCCUGCCUGAUUCCUUUAGAAUUCAUACUACCUCAGAGGAGCAAACCUAAUCCCCUCAGCCUAAUCCUACCUGUUUAGGAUCAUCUAAACUUGUCCUUCAGAAAGCUUGAUCAGUUUAAAAUUGCUUUCUAAAUAGAAAUGAAAUACGUGAUAUGAGAGAGGUUAAAAUACUGCUUAAAAAGGGAAACACUCAAUUUAGUAAUUCGGUUGCCUAGAUGAAAUCGAGUGGCUAUUGAUCCGUGAUGUUUCUAGAUUUUUAAGACUAUGUACUUCCUAUUUCUUUGGAAAAUAAUCAUCCAGUUUGAUGCCCAUUACAAAUUUUCCUGCUAUGAAAGAAAUUCUAUGCGCGGCAGUUUUGCAAUAAAACAACCCGGGCUUCGCAAUGGGAGAACUUCGGUGCGGCGUGCCGUGAGAGUCCUUUGACAAUCUCAGCUUUCAUCUAGGUCUGAAAUUAAAGCUUCUCGGAAUAAUUUAGGAACAGCUUGACCCGUUGAGAUACUCAAGGACAACCCUCCAGGGAAAUAGUAUGUUUCCUUCCUGGGAACAAGAUGCUAGCGCGGUGCACCGGGAGGUAUCUGGUGUCAACAAUGCCAGAGCGCCCUCUGCUGCCUCAAAGAGGCAGGACACCAGUUACAAAAGCCAGAUGGCACAGUGGCAAUAAGCGGAGGAAACAUUAAGCUCUUAGAAACGUUUAAUCUGUGAAAUUUAAAAGCUCUCAUCAUAUUCUACUUUUGAAAGGGCCACCUGAUUUUGAUUUUGAGCACUCCUUGGAUGUUAUCUUCUAUUCUGGAGGAUAAUGAAAAGUCCGUGUUUUGAAGUUUUCAGAUUAUUUCUGUAGUUAUAUUUCUCCACUCUUUCUCGAAUUUUAUAUGGAAAUACGAAAUUGCAAAUCUAAGUGAAAAACCUUUGUGUAAAACAGGUGAGUGGAGAAGACGUCCUGGUUUCUCCAAAUAACUAAGAUCUAAUAAAGAAACAAAUCUUAAUUAAAAUAAAGAUACCGAGCACAUGUUGUUGUGUUAGUUUAAAACGAUAAUAAAAAGAAAGAAAUUAAGUCUCGAUGUAAAUCAUUGUUUUGUUGUUUUGUUUCAGUGAUUAACCCAAAUUUUGACCAGACUUGAAGUUUUGAAAUAAGAAAGUGAAUUAUUUUAAAGAAGAAGAAAAAUUUGCUUCUUAUUAAUAUGUACAAUAUUUUUGCCCUUAAAACCUUUGCAAUACAUUUAUACACACACACUCAGCUUGCAAAGCCUUCUUUAGAAAAUAACCCACUCUGAGUAGAAGUAAUGAGAUAUGGUAGCAGCAUGGGCAAAGCCAUAAGAAACGUUAUUUGCAUUAAAAAUGAGUUUUUCAGUAUGGAAAAUCAAUUACCAAAUGAAAUAGAGAUUUUUUUUAAAGGUUCAAACCUUUUCAAAUUUUUAUGUUAUAGGGUUUAUAUUGAUUAAAAUAAAUGUACGUUUGUAGUUAUUCAACAUUAUGAAUUUCAAGAUGGCCACCUAUUUUGAAACGCACACCUUUGCCAUGAAGUCUGUUGUUGCAUAUAUUAGUGCUGAUGUAAUAAAAUGCUUCUAUUAACUAUGUGGUUGUUAAUAAAUCUUGUAAAAAUAAAGUUCUGUUUAUUUUAUGGUGUCAGAACAAAAUAGCUGUUUAAAAUCACUUAUUUUAGUCUUAGCUUUUAAAUCAAAAUGCCUAUAAGAAUAUUAAGUUCUAAGAUUGUUGAGAAUACUAAGAUAAAAUUAAAAAUUGUAUGAUUUUACAAUUUGCUAUAAUUUAAAAAUCUUGUAUUGAUUAAAUGUUAAAUCAGGUUAAAUAUUUGACCAAUUGUGUCAAGUUCCGUAUAAAUAUGGGUACAUUUGUCUUCUGAAAGCUAUUUCUCCAAAGAAUGCACUUACGAAUGUAUGGCAUAAUAAGUGAAAAAAUGGUAGAACUUUUAUGUUUUUAUUUUAAGUAUCCUUUUAAAAAUUAAAAAUAUUUUUUUUCUUUUACUUAAUUUAAAUUUCUUCCUAAAUAAGUGCAUAUUUUACCCAGGAGAAAAUAAACAGAGUGACAUAAAUUUGCUAUACUUCUUAUAGUUACUAUAAUCAGUUAAAAAACAACUUCUAGGCAAAUAAAAUAUAUAAUAAAAUGUAAAUUAAAAUGUAAAUAAAAUGCAACAAAUUCGUGGGUGGAAGACAUGAACAUGACUUUUUUCUAUUUUAAAAACCAUUUGAUGUAUUCUAAAAAAAGAAAAAGAAAAGAAAAACAGAAGAGAACCAACUAAAAGAGCUUCCCAGAUGUCCAAUAGAUGCUGCCCGAAGUAAAACGCAUACUCUAAUAUUUGUUAUUCAAAUUUGCAUGUAAGGGUUUUUAACCUCCCUUUAUUUUAUACUUGUACAGGGUAACGUAUUGUAACUGAAACACUCCUCCUAAUUUAUUCUGGCUGUGAAAAGCCUAUGGAAACAUUCACUUCCAUAGGAGUAAUAUGUAUCUAAACAGUAUAUUUAGGGAAAGCACUAAUAGAACACAAACAACUAAUUACUGAUGCUUUUAAGGAGGAACCGCAACAAUAAUUGUGCACUGUCUUAGAUAAAAUUAAUAUAGAAUUUAAUAUUUGUAGACCACAAAAAAGCCCUAAUCGUGGACCGCAGAUUAGAAAGAACAGGCUUUAGCACACUGUGUAUCUUUGUAGUAUUCAGACUCAGCUGCCACUGCGAUUUCCAUCAGCUGCUGUUAAGUAAAUAAUAUACUAUGGAAAUAUGACUGAGUAGGAAUUGAAAAUAAAAUGCUUUAAGAAGGAAUAAAAUUGGGAUGUCAAGAAAUCAAAGUUGAUUGUCUUUAAGAUAGAAGGUUAGUAGUUACAAACUGCAGCGAAAAUAUAUACAUUGAUGAGCAAAUCUCCACGAAGUAAAAAGUUCAGAUGUUGGAUACUACCAAGGCAAAAUAGAGUGAAAUAGGAAGAAAUUAAGUCUUUGAGACACAUGUAGAAAGAACAAAGAAGCCUCUUGACUUCAAUUUUGUUUUUAAAAUUCCAGUAGAAGAUGUUUAUGCAGAGAAACCUUAAGGAAUUCUUCAUUGUCAUGUCACAAUUUUGAUCUUGUUGAAUUAAGAAAGACAGGGAAAAGUUGAAAAACAAAUAAGCAAAAUGUGAAUUUACUAUUGAACUCUUAUGGGUUUGUAAUGCAGAAUUGUGUUUUUCCUUUCCUACUUGUUGGUCAGGUUCUUUUUAAUCAUAAGAAGGAAAAUAUUUAAAAUAUAAUUUUAUACAUGGUACAAUUGUCUCCCCUUAGCCUUGGCUCGCUUUCUGUGGUUUUAGUUACCCGCGGUCAACUGUGGUCUGAAAAUAUUAAAUGGAAAAUUCCAGAAAUAGACUAUUCAUAAGUUUUAAAGUUUGUGCUGCUUUGAGCAGCAUAAUAAAAUCUUGCACCACCCCACUUCAUCCCACCCAGGAUGUGAAUCAUCCUUUGUCCAGCAUCUCCAUGCUAUAUGUAGCUACCCCUUAGUCACUUAGUAACCAUCUUGAUGAUCACAUCUACUGUUGCAGUAAUAUCACACAGCAUCACUUAUGUUCAAGCAACACUUGUUUUGCUUAAAAUGACUGCAGAGUUCAAAAGUAGUGAUGUUGGGAAUUCAGAUAUGCCAAAGACAAGCCAUAGGUACAUCCUUUAAGAGAAAAGGCGAAAGUUCUCAAAUUAAUAAGGAAAGAAAAAAUAUUGCAUACUGAGGUUGCUAAGAUCUAGUGUAAGAAUGGAUCAUCUAUUAAUGAAUUUGAAAAGAAUGAAAGGUAAAUUUAGGCUAGUUUUGUUGUCACACUUCAAACUGUAAAAGUUACAGCCACGGUGCAUAAGUGCUACUUAAAAUGCAAAAGGCACUAAAUUUGCUGUUGGAAGACAUGAACAGAAACGUGUUCCGAUUGACGACAAUCAGAUUCAGUGUUAUCUGCAGUUUCAGGCAUCCACUAGGGCUCAUGGAAUGCAUCCUCUGCAGAGAAGUGGGGACUACUGUCUUAAUAAUAGAAUGAAUAUAACAUAGCUUAUGCUGGGCAAAAUAUCUUUCUUCUGUUAAUUUGUUUGAACAAAAAACAGUGACAAAUGAAACAGAAACUUGGUUUAGGAGAGUGUUUCUUACUGAUUUGAAUGUUCUAAGUAGUAGUGACAAUGUACUUACAUUGGCAGGAUUCUUAACUUGAACUCAGUCACAAUGCUUCUCAGGAAUUCCCUAUACUCGUGUUAACUGUGAAGAGUGGGAGUUCCAGGCCAAAACGAUAAGGACUAUGUACCUCAGGCAAGGUCAAUUUAAAGGUUACAAAGUUUGGGUUGCUAUGAAAACAUUAAAUAGAGAAAGGUGUUCCCUUGCCGAGAGCUAUGUAGUGCCAGUUUUCCAAAUCAGAGGAACUUCUCUCUUCCCUGGACAUCCUUGACCUGACUCUACUCUCUCGAUUCCCAGAAUUCGGGUAUAGUAGUUAUGUUGUUUUCAUUGUCCUGAUGAUAUCAGAUAAGUAGAUUGGUUACAAGAACUCCAAGGAUGCAUUCUUCAAUAUGUGAUUUUACAACCUGGUAUAUUUAAAGAAAGGGGCUUUGAUUCAAUGACAGGGUUAUUUUUACCUAGCUUUUCAACUCAGAAAGCACAGAUACUUAUAAAUGCCCACUAAGCAUCAGGAAGUUGUGUUAGUUGGAUGAGAGAAUGAGGGGUGUGGUGUAUGUGUAUAUAAAUACAUGUAUAUGGAAAGGAAUAUCUAUAUUAGACAUCACAGUUAACAUUUAAAACAUGGUUGUGAAAAAAAAUAAAACCAACAGUAGCUAUGGCUUGGACUUACCUCUUUUGCAGUUAUCUUCCUAUUAUUAGAUAAUCUACUUGGUAAAAUUGCAUGGUACAAGAGGAUUAUUAAUAAAUAAUCAUUAAAAAUGGCUAGUUCAUUCAGACUAUUCUCCAUACUCCUGCUGUUGUUAUUGCAAUAACUUUCCAAAUUUUCUAAAUCCAUGAAUACCCUUUCAAUGAAUAUAAUUUUUCUACAUUAUCUUCCUACCUCUCUCUCUCUCUGCUUUUAUCUUAAUUGAUAAUGAAACCCAGUAAGGUAAGUGAUUAUUUAGACCAAUAACAUUGAACAAAUCAAUCAUUCCUAAAUGUAGGACCCAAACUUAUAUCACAGAAUUGUGUGUGUGUGUGUGUGUGUGUGUGUGUGUGUAUGGACUUGAAUUGAUUUUUAUUUUAACCUCCACUUCUUUUCGUAGUAAACAACUUCUCUCAGAUUUCCAAAGAUAAAAACAUAGAUUCAUUCAUUCAUUUAUUCACUGUUUGAGUGCUUAGUAGGUGCCAGGCUCUGUUCUUUGUGUUAAAUAUUCAAAGGUGAAUGAAAUUCAUGCGAUUUCUAUUCUUAUGGAGCUUAUGCUUUCUCAGUGUUAAAUUUUCUAUUCUCCUGAACUUACUUUCUAUAAUUCAUGUCUUUUUAUCUUUAAGUGCUUCCAUGUCACUAAUGAGAGUUUUCCUCAUGAGAAGAACAGAUUUGUAUUUUGCUAUUCUGGGAUAAACAAGACCAAUAUAUUUACAUUUUUCUUACAGAUGCACAUCCUUAUCUAUUUGGAAACAAUGAAUGCUUUUUGCUAUUCUCUUUCAAAUUUAAAGAUCAAUUGAGUAAAAUAUUAAUAUAUGCUGAUGUAAUGUUGACUGUAAAGUAUUAGCUCCUGUCUCAAUUGUGGUUUAUUAGUCAUGCUUGAAUUUUGUGUUUAUUGAUUAUAAAUAUUUACUUUUAUUUUGUCAUAGAUUUUGAUUUCAAAUGUAAUUUUUGCAACAUAAAUGCCCAUUCAAACUCUGUAAUUUGGUCCUUAUCCUUAAUUUAUACAUUCUAAUAAGCCGUAGCUUUGUCCCUGUGAUUUUUUUUCUGUUUGUUUACUUUCUUUUAUUUUAAUGAGUGAUUUUUUCCAAUUAUCAAGAUUCUUUUCAACUUACCAUCAUAUUUUUCUAUAGGACCUGAAAUUUUCUUUUCAAUUUACCAUUGUAUUUCUCUAUAGGACCUGAAAUUUAACUAACUUAGAUCAAUGAAAUCAUCAACUGGUUUUAUUGGAUUGAUUAGUUGUACACAACAAAUCUAAUUUAGUUAUUAAACUGGUCCUAAUAACUAGACUCACUUCUUCAUAACCUCAUUAUUUCAAAUGUUUAAAAUAAGCAUCAAAUCAACUGAACACUCAAAAGCCUAUCCCAAAAUAUGCCCACAGAUAUAAUUUCAAGUACUUUUUAAAUUCAUUUCAUUAGCUGUGAAGGUUUUAGAGAUUUCUGUCUUUACCAAAAACACAGUUUUAAAUAUCGCCCUCAUUUAUUGCUCAUGACUGUUGGUCACCAUCUUAGCCAAGUCUUUGAAAGUGGCUAGAUGUCUCUGUCAGGCUUUUUUAGGCAAUGGCAAGUGUCGUGUAUAACAAAGAAGUUAAAUAUCUUUCCUGUAAGUUUUGAUUACUUUACUUAUCAAAAGCUCUGAGGAUGAGGACUUCUCUAGCUUUGCAAUGUAAUUGGUGUAAUAUACAAAUAAUGUACUAACAUUAGAGGCUGGAGAUGUAUAGACUGAACUUUGACUGAGUAAUUUGGAUUACUUUAUUCCUUUCACUAGAUUUUAGUUCUAUGUGAGAUCAAUUAGUGAUUCUCCAUAAUGUGCAUUAAGCAUCACCUGAGGGGGCUAGUUUAUAAAUUUAGGUUUUCAGGUCCUAUCCUGGAAAAUUCAGUUUCAGCAGGUCUCAAAACAUUUAAACAAGCACCCCAGCUGGUUCGGAUGCAACUGAUAUACAUUUGGAGAAACUUGGACCAACUCUCUAAGCAUUUUCUAGCUCUAAACAUUUUGGCUUUAAAGUAAAGAAAAUUAAUAAUUCAAAGAUAGUGAAUCUGCCAUAGGCAGACCCAUAAAGAACUGGUAUUUUGGAGAAGUGUUAGUUAUAACAUACAGAAUGUGUAAGUCCAUAUUCUCAAAGAGGCCAGUGCCAAGAUAAGGUUAAGCAUACAUUCAGUUUAUUAGGAAAAAUGCCUAUGUGAGAAAAGAUGGGAUGGAGCAGAAUAAUCUGGGAGAGUUGUCAGACUGCAAUGCAGAGUCUGAUCUCUAAUGAAAGAGACAGGCAUGGAAGGUGCAGUCUCAGGAAGGUUUGUCAAGGUCAUCAGGAAGUUCUUGAGCCUGAGUUGGCUGUCAGAGGAGUCCUAGGUCUUCCAAGAACAUUCCUGCUCUAGUAUCUCUACCAUAGUUAGUCACAGGUUAGAAGCAGUUCAUAAGAAACAUUUCCUUUGAACAAAUAUAAAGAUGGAUUUUUAGGGAGCAGGGGUUAAGGCCCUUGGUUAAUUACAUGUCUUCUAUUUACAGAUCUAUGAGGUGUGUUCUCACAGCUUCCACAGAGAGGCAAAUCAUUUUUAAUAUCAGCAUCAGUUGCUGGGAAAUUUAACAGAUAUUUAGACACUAUCACAUAAAAAAUCCAGAUUUUAUCUUCACAAGAUCAACAAUCAAUAAAAGAUGAGAGUGAUUCAAGAAUAAAAUAAUUACCUUGCUCCCAAAAUGUAUUAGUUGUAAUGGGCUGUUAUCCUAUGACAUGAACAACUGAUAUGAUAGGAUAACAGCUAUUAUCCUAUAAUAUCCUAUGAACAGCCCCCAAAUCUCACUCGUUUAAAACAACAAAGCCAGUAUCUUGAUCAUACUACAUCCUCUGUACAGAUUGGAAGGGAGGCUCUGUUUUGGUGUUUGAAGAAGUCCAGCGGAGUGAGGCUUCACCUAGUUAUAGAUGCCAUAAUUAUAUAAUAUCCAAUAAUAUGUUAGAGAAAGAGAAGACUAAAGAUUCAAGUAUAAAUUUUUGACCCAGAAGUUAUAGCUAUAGCUUCCAUUCACAUUUUAUUCCCUAGAAUUAGUUACACGGUUAUGCAGAAAAUUGGAAUCUUCAUGUAUCUAGAAGUUAAAGAGAAUAGACACCGGUGAAUAGUGAUGCUUACCAAAAUAUGGCUUCUUGCCAACACUAUCACUGGUAUACAGUGGCUGACUACAUCAUCCCUAAGAGUCCUGGAACUCAGAAAUCAAAUGUGGCUAAAAUAAAACCUUGGUCCAAUGCUUUUUGUAUUGUUUUGAAAGCAGUGAAGCAUGGAGGACAGGGCUUAAACAGAAAGUCAAGAAAUCUUUUAGAAUAAAAAUAGACUCUCUGAAUUGCUGUGUGAUUUUAGAAUAUAUCUUUUAUUUCUGAGCCCAACUUUUCUCAUUUGAAUAAUGAAAGGAUGGAAUUGACUAUCCAAAAAUAUAUUCCAAAAUUCAGUUAUUUCUGAUAAUAAAAGUAACAUUAAUAGCAAUAGAAAUACAACAUCGUCUAGCAUAUGUAGAGUAAGCUGCUGAGGAAAGCUCUUCAUUUCCACUCCACAUGGAGAGUAUUGGUUCUAACACUGAAUUCUGGGGAUCAUCAAUUUCUCUCAAGGUAUUCAUGAUAUUUUGUGAAUAAAGGACUCUUUGGGAUGCCUAGGGGAGCAUGCCCAGCAUGCCUAAGACACAUGCACAUGAUCCUCGUCCUUUGAAUAGAUAAUAAUGAGACACAUUCUGCCCAGCUUCUCACAGAGUUCCAGCAGGAUCAAGCUUAAAACAUCACCAAUUCACAAAACACCCUUGGAUUUUCUCUACCCAUCCCUGCCCUCACUCCAGUUUCCCUGGAACCACUCCCAAAAUAAAUUGCCUCCCUUCAAAAGUCCUUGCCUUGGUCAGUCAUCCAAAGGGGAAACCCAGGCUAAGACAGCAGAGUAAUCUCAGUCGAAUUAGAGAAUAGAGCAUCAAAGAUGGCAAGGGUCUUAAAUGUUUUUAGGUACAACCAUUAUCCAGUGUAUGGUUUCUCUGUCAAUUCAGUUUCUACUUCUUGAAAGAACUCUUUAUAGGGAUAUCUGGUCCUUCUAUAGUGACUGCAUAUGUUGAACUAAGAAGCUGGUUUCAUGAGAAUAUGGAGAGUUUAGCAUAGUCAGGGAGUCUCCACUUAAGAACUGAGAAACUCCAAAGUUUUGAACUGAUCCAGUUUUCUCUAGCUGUGGUGAAGGGACGUUGAAAAAAAGUACUAAAAGGGAUCCAGAUUACUGCAAUUCUGCAAUGCAGUUCUGUACUCUUCAUGUGCUAAUUUGAUAACUAAUAAUGUACAUUAAUUAGAAAAAGAAUAAUGUGCAUCAGAAAAAUAAUAAGAACGAAAAGAAUAAGAUAUUCCUAAAAUAUAGAUGCCUCUAUAUUUAGUAAAUAGAGAAAUGUAUACUAAAUAUAUGCUACACGGUUUUUGUAAAUAUGUAAAUAAAUAAUAGCUCCAAUGUAUAGCAUACAUGUACUUCAUAGUGCUUCCUGAACAAGCAAGGACACUGUCAAACACAGAAGCUCUGACUUUCUUCUUCCCUGUUCUCUCUGACCAAUUGUCCUGAGACAUAUACUGGUUAUCGGCUGCUGCUGGGCCAAUACUUCAGGACAGCCUAACUGUUCUAUCUUGAGUGCAUCCAAGCUAUGCUGAAGAACAGUAAGGAAAACUGAUGAACAUUCAGGUGGGUCACAAAGAGACAUAUCACCUGCAAAAGGCCGAGAAAGUGUAGGAAAUCCGGCCCUGACUCCAAAUGCAUUAGCCCCUAUUUAGAUAGAUGUGCAUGAAAUUUAAUAAAUGAUUUUUGAUCUAUCUGGGGAGGCAUUCUUUAACAAUGCAUUUAUUUAAUGAAGUGUGAAUAUGUUCUUAACAAAUCAGACUAUAAUCAGCAGAUUUAAAAUUAAUUGGAUCUUGUUAGAUGGUAUAUAUCCUUCUUUAGCAUCUGAUUAUAAAGCAAGGUAUAAAUGCUAUAUAAUUCAAUGCAUAGUAAAAUCUCUACAUGAAACAAAGUUUCAAAAUAUGGUUCUAGCUUCAGGAGAAGAUUGUAUUAGCCUUUGUUAUAGAGGGCUAGUAUGCAGUGACUUCUUAUUGAAAUAGGUGUAUUUCAUUUAAAAUAUUGAGCAAUUUUCCAGAGUUAGUUAAAACAGCACGCAAUAUCUGGACUGAAAAGAAGCUGUGGAUUCCUCCAAAUAAAGUUAAAGUUGUUUAAGGUUUAUCACAUGUGAAUUUGUCAUGAUACUGUCACAUAUAAUAGCAACAAUAAUAACCCAUACCCAAAUAAUAUUUUGUUUCUUAAAAUGAUCUUUCCUGCUAUUUACCUUCCUACUUUCAUUAAGAUAUGAGAAUACUGAAGGGAAAUGUGAUUCAAAUUCAUUUACAUUUUUAACUCAAUGAUACAUGCUAAUUAAUUCAAUAACUAGGAAGCCAGCUUCUAUGUGGCUGAUAAAUGCACAUUUUUAUGCAUUUCUGCCUGACAACUCACACUGGUGCUUUUAUGACCCGUUAUCUCGGAGUAGUCCCCACAUCUAAACAAUGUAGAUGUGAGCAUAACAUUAAUUCUCAGACUGAAAGUAAUUCAUACUAGUAAAUAAAAUAUACUUCAAAGUCAAUUAAUAAUGAUAUAAUUAUCCAUACACAGUGUCCUCUAACAAGCAUAGUUCUAAAACUCUAUAACGUAGUAAAAUCCACGAACAGUUUCAACCCUGCUGUUUUUGAUAUUCAGCCCUCAACAAUUUGUCCAUCAGAGAGAGGUGAAAGGUGCCAGAAAUUCUACAGAUGCAGGAUUGCCUUAAGUGUUAAUUUAGGCACAGUUCACUUGAGUCCCUUUUAAUUGCAAUAGCAUUAAACUUCAAGUGUCUAGUACUUCAUAGUUUUACUUCAUACUCCAUAGCUUUCACAGCCUUUCCACACAUGAGAGUUAUAAGCCCCGCAACUGUGCUGUGAAGUAUUACUCUCUCAUUAUGCAAAGUAAGAAACAGUGGCUCAGAGAAGUGGUCAGAAUCUCUGGGACAGAACAAUGGCAGAGUCAGAACUGGAGCUCAUGGUUCUAAUGCAAAAUCCACUUCUCUUUCCUCUUCCCAUCCCAUGCCAACUUAGAGCUUCUCACUGGCUUGAGUUCAGGCUUCACAACAACCUCUUCUUGCCAAGAGACAAACCAUGUAGCAUAUUCGUAACUGUCCUUGCAUCUUGGCUUUUGUGUUUGUGAAGCAAGGUAUCACCCUUACUUCUGAUCAGGUACUGAAUGCUAUGUUUCUUAUGAAAAGUAAUCUCCAUAAGAACUCAAAAAUAUAAUUGAGUUCCCGUGGAGCAUAAUUAUAUUGUAGAAGCUUCUCUGAAUAUUUAUCCCAAAGGAAUAUUAAUGAGUAGCAUAAGAAUGUCUUUCAGCCAUAGGCAUAGUUUUCCAUUGCUCCUUUGUGGAUCAGUUUAGUGCUGAAAAGAACUGAAAUGGAGUGAAAGGGAGAUUCACAGACAUGCAGGGAGUAAGUACUUGGACUUUUCAUUUAAUUUCAUUGUGCAGUCAUCAGACAGUAGCAAAAUAAACACCUCCAUCAUUGUUUUCCAAUAGUCACAAUCUUUGGUUUAUAAUUGAUAAUCUAGAGAUCAGUCUUGCUUGCAGGAAACUCACAGCUUGACCUAUGACUAACUAUCCUUUGCUUCAAAGAAGUACAUUUUUCAUAAGCAGCAAAUUUUAAAAUUGCAUCUGCUAGAUUCACCAUCACAAAGUCAUACACACUCAGAGAAUAAAUAGUGAAAGUUGCUAUGUCUGGGAGUAGGUACAUUUUUAAACAUAAGUUAUGACACAUAGCCAUCGUUCCCAUGUGAUUCCAAGCUAGCCUCCUCAAAGCAUGAAGAAGGUCUGCACCACUGACUUUGGUAUUGUUUGUUUGUUUUUUUUUUUUUUCACUGUCUACCUGGAAUGCCUUUCUUCUCACCUCUCUGCCUAUCUAUAUCCUACCAUUCCAUCAACACCCUGAUUAAAUUUUAUUUCUUCAAUGCUACACUUCCAAGACUACAUAUUUAACCUUAUUUUCAAAAUUACAUAAUUUAAGGCUACUGAAAUGCAUUCUGGCACCUAUGUAUAUUGUAAGCUUGUGUACUUAGAACAGUGCCUAGCACUCUUCUAUGCAUAUCGUAGGCACUCAAUGAACACUCAUUGAAUUCUUUCAGAUUCACAAAGAAUUAAUGAGCAUGUGUAAUUCUCAGUGUCUCUUUUGCUUGUGGUUAAAUCUGAAGUAAUAAUAACUAUUUGUUAUUAUUGCUUGACUAAGAGAAAACAAAUACUUUGGGACCCAAGAGUUUUAUAAAAUAUUUCUGCCAACAACAGGGAAACAUUAUUACAGAAUAUCUAUGUGUAAGUUACUUUCCCCACCUCGAAAAUAUCCGUUUACUUUUCAAAGAGACCUCCCUAAGUCCUUGCUAAGGGAGUCCUCAUGCCACUACUUAGCCCCUCCCCAUCUCACAUAGUACACACCCAUGGACUCUUCCUCUUUGCAGAAUGUAAAAGAAUAAGGAUGUUUUAAUUGAAAACCUGGGGUUACUUCCUAGUCCCAUCACCUGCUAGCUACAUGAGCUUGAACAGCUUACUUGAUAACUGAUUCUCGAUUUCAUCACCUGUUAACUGGGGAUAACAGAACCUCCUCUAAUAGUCUUUGAGAAUGAAAUGAGAUUGUGUAUGUAAAGCAUCUGGCCCAGUAUCAGGCAAAGAGCAAAUUUUAAAAGAAUGUUGAUAUCUUGUUCCACUCUCACUUCUUCUCCCUUUACCUCUCACACCUUCUUUCCUGGGCUUUCUCUUCUUUUUAUACAAUUUAGAUUAUUCUUGCUUUCUCUUCCGUCAUGCAAUGUCCCAUUCAGGUAUGGUAUGUCCAGGAAGGGGAGAGGACAGGAAAGGUUAGAGAAAGCUCGCAUAGGAGCACUGCCAGUGGCUGUUUUGCUCACAUGCCAGCCUGGUCCAGGUUUCGUAAAAGCACAAAGAAUGCUUUGCAAAAAGCCUACUGCUGGCAACAGCCACAAGGUUGAGGCUCUCAAGACUACUACAUGAAAAAGAAAUAAUCUAUAUUUAUCUCCUCCAUCCUCCUAAUAGUGGAAUUCAAAAGCAAUGAAGCCAUUGUGAAGAUAUUAACUUUUUAGAACAGUUAGACACAAAGCUUCAACAAUGAUAUCUAAAGGAAAAGAGAGAAAAUACCCUUCCCAGAGGCAGAAUGAGAUAUAAAAGACUCAGAAAGUAGAGCAGAGAUGAAAGCAUCUAUGAUGCACAGUGGACAAAUGUUCUGACAUUCUAUAAAAGGAACAAAAUUAGAAGUUUAAUGUGGCUUGAGAUCUGAUUCAGAUAUGCAGCUGAAGUCAAAAUCUUAAAUAGACACAGAAAUCCAAGAAAUCUAAAAGUGACUGAAACUCGUGAUUUUGUAUAUAAUCAUUUGUUUCUAGAUUAUUUGGGGGACAUUAAGAAAUACAGAAAUAAAUCACGAAAUUGACAUUAGGGAUGAAGGGAAACUUCACACUACUCCAUUUAAUGUUUCUGAGUGACCCUAGAAUUAUUAAUAUAUAUUUUUUAAUAUUCACUGCAUUUCAAGUGAAUUAUUUAAGCACUUUAUAUCUAUUAAUGUAUGUAUUCAUAACAAUAGCCUUAAGAAGCAUAUACUCUUAUUUUUUUCUUAUUUUAUUGGUUAGGAAACUGAAGCUUAGAGAGUAUACUUAACUUUCCCAGGGUCACACAUGCAGUAAAUGGUGAGGCUGAAAUUUAAACUCAGACAUGUAAUUGGAUACAAAAUAUUAGAACUCAUAAACAAAUUCAGCUUUUAUUUUGUUCUUGACUCUUCUUCAUCUUCCAUUUGAGCAUGGGUUGAAAUCCUGUUAUGUAUCAGUCAAUAUUUUGCUUUUCUAUUUCUUUGUCUAUCUGGGAUUUUUUAAAAAACAUAUUAUUUAUCUCCUUUGUAAAGAUCUGUGGCAUUGUAUUAUUCAUUUGUGUGUCUGUCUGUACCAUGAGGUUGGGAACACCAUCGGUAGCUUAUAUGUAUUUUGCUCUAAAAUGCUUAUUGAGUGAAUGUAUGAUCACACUAACUAGAUGAUAUUUCUACAUGACUAAUCCUAUUUAAAAUGAAAGUUACACUCACAUUUAAAGUUGCCAUAGUUGCAGCAAUUAUUUUAAAAAACCCUAUUUAUAUCUAGUCUCAGUCUUUCAAAGACAAGAUCUAAGUCGAAGCCCUAGCACACGUCUGCAUCUUUCUAAUCCCUGCUAGGAAUGGGCAGGUGAUUUGCGUAGUGUAGGUUGAAAGAAAGCAAUAGCAACACUUAGAGUGUCCCUGACAUAUAUCGCCUGGGGGUCUGACAUCAUUGGCAGUGUUCUGGAGAGAACAUACAUCCACCUCCUACCACUCUUCAAAAGUUUGAGGGUUAGGGACUUGAGCAUGGAGACAGAGUUGAAAAGAUGACAGAAAUGUUAUGUUACACAAUUUGGUUCCUCUAGGGACCAAUCUUAAGCUGUGUCAAAGAAAUAUUGAUAAGGUUAGAGAAUGUGUGUGGUGAAUUACAAAUACUCCAAAAUUAUCAUCACUUGAAGAUCCUCGCACGACACAGUCCAUGCUUCUGAAAAUCACUAUAUGCACAGUGAGAAACUAUUGCUUACCCAUCAGAUUGGUGAACAUUACAAAGACUUACAUAAAAAUGUUGUCAAGGAUGUUGAUGGAGAAAGAACUUUCAAUUCACAAUUUAGGAAUAUAAAUUGCUACAACUACUAUAGAGAAUGCUUUGUCAAUUUCUAAUGCUCAUUAAGACGUACACAUUGGUGGAAAGAUUUGGGUGUAUACCCAACUGUUUUUCAUGUGCUUGAGGAAACAUGUACAAGAAUGUUCACAUGACAUUGUGCUAGAAAAAAGUAGGAAACAAAAUGUCUAUCAACAGGAAUAUGGGCAAAUAAAUUAUGGAAUACUCACACAAUAUUGAAAAUAAAUAAAAUAUAGGUACACAUAUCAAUACUCAUUAAUCUCAAAAACAUAAUGCAUUAACAAGCAAGUUGCAAAAGACUACUGGCAGUGUUUAUAUGAAUGCUGAAGGCUUGUGAAACUAUAUUAUAUUGUUUAUGAAUACAUUCCCAUGUAGGAAAAGUAUAAAUGAAUGCAUGGGUGUGACAGAAAGCAAUUCUGGAGGGUGGUUGUCUUGGGGAGAGGAGAAAAGGGAGAUAAACCAGAAAGAGCACAAACACACUGUAUUAAUUAUGCUUUUUAUUUAAGCCAAAUGAAAGGUACAUCAGUGUCCAUUGUAUUAAUUUUUGUAUCCUUUCGGAUGCUUUAAAUAAACAUUUCUUUUCUUUUCUUUUUCUUUUUCUUUUUUCUUUUCUUUUUUUUUUUUUUUGAGGUGGAGUCUCACUCUGUCGCCAGACUAGAGUGCAGUAGUGUGAUCUCGGUUCACUGCAACCUCCAACUCCUGGGUUCAAAUGAUUCUCCUGCCUCAGUCUCCUGAGUAGCUGGGACCAGAGGCGUGCGUCACCACACCCAGCUCACUUUUGUAUUUUUAGCAGAGACAGGGUUUUACCAUAUUGGCCAGGAAGGUCUUGAUCUCUUGACCUCGUGAUCCGCCCACCUCAGCCUUCCAAAGUGCUGGGAUUACAGGCAUGAGUCGCUGCACCCGGCUUUAAAUAAACAUUUCUAAAAGUAAAAUACACAAUUGCCAAUAGAGUUGUCAGUAUUGAGACUAGAAACCAAAGAUACUGUCUCAGUUUUUAAAGCAAACAUAAUGGCAUAGUAUAUCAUAGAGGGGAAAAAAAACUCAAUAAAAGAAAAUAAAAGAAUAAAUAUUGCAACAAACCCAUUUUCCUUUACAUUCAAAUAUUUUCAACCAGAAGCUGAAUUUUACGUUUGAGUCCAGAAAAUGUCCUUGACAGUAUUGUGAAAAAAUUGUAGGACACAUGCAUGCAAUUGAGAUAGCCAUUUCUUUGACUCUAGAAGUUCUGACAUAAUAACUUAAAAUUUGAGAGGAGCUCACAAAAAGAAGUGUGAAACCAAAUUGUCUAGAGAAGCAUAAAAGCACUCCUCCUCUGCUUGAAAAUUAGCUGGAGCUAAUUUUGGUCUGCUCAAUGCCAGUGUGUACAGUGGCAAGAAAAUUAGCUCCAUAGUUUUACUUUGCUUUUUGUUUUGUUUUUAUUGUCUUUUCAAAAUAAGUCUUUGGCCCCAGGUUAAUAGGAAAAGCAUUUUUCUAAUUUAGGUGCAAGGAGGAGCUUAGCUGUUGGUACUCCUAAGUGAAAGUCAGCAUUGAGUAAGAGCUCACACUCUGCUAGAAAUUUAAGGCCUAUUAUAUUUUAGCAUUGAUUUAAAUACUUGUCACCUUUCUGAUGAGUUGUAAUUAUAGAAAUUUUAUGAAGGACUUGAGAUGAAAUUUCAAAUAAUUAUAUUAUUUAAUGUCUUAACAAUGUAUUUUUAAGCAAGAAAUCCACAAUGAACAGUUACAUGAGAAUAGAAUGUUCUCAUAUUACAUGGUCUUUAGCUCUCUAUAACUCAGAUUGGGAAGUAGAGAUAACAUGUUGUUAGACACUUUUCAUGAAAGGCUUAUCUCUUUAGGUUGAGUGGUAAAGCAUUUUAAUCAAAAUAUAAAUUUGCAAAUAUAUUUAUAGUCCCUAGCCUUAGAAUAUUAUUAAAAUCCUAUAAUAAAUAUAUUUUUAAAGUUGAAUAAGAAUGGAACUUGAAUGAAUCCAGUAACCAGGCAAAUAAAUCCUUAUUUUUCUCAUCAGGGAUGUGGAACUACAUUUUCUCACACUUCUACAGGCUAUAUUAACCAUUCAAUAUUCAACCUAAUCAUUUAAUAAUAUCUUACAUGUUUCAGCUAUUUCACUUGUUAUCAGUUUAAUUGAGGUUCUCCAAUGACAUCAAAGUCUCUUCUCUUUCAAUUUCCACUGUGUAGGGAAGUGGGAACAGUGAAAUAUUAGAUAUAUUUCUAAAUCUAACCAACCAAUAAAGAUUUUUUGGGAAAAAAAGUGAUUGGGAGUUAAAAAUUGAGGUUUUGUCAUCUGAAACUUUAAAAAAAUGUAGCUUGAUCAAUUAAUAUAAAAUUACUCUGUAGCUUCUUUAUAGUCACAAAAUGCCAGACAGCCUCUGAAAAAAAGCAAAGGUAUUCUUGAGCUUUUAUUAUUUUAAAUCAGUUAUACAUUCCUUGCAACUUUGAAAUGUCACAAGUCAAUAUAUUUGAGGACAAAAUGUCUGAAACCUGAUUUGUAGAGAUCCUGCUAGUCAAGGAUUCAACAUCUAUAGAAACCCACUGGCUAUACAGAAAAAUGAGAAGCAGAGUUUAAUAUUUUCAUCUCCAUUCUUAAAGCAUAACACAUUUGCCAUGGGAUACAUGGUUAAUUGUGAAAUGUAUCAUACAUAUGAGUGUAUAAGUACAAUUUAAAUAAUAUAUAAACUACUGCUGCAUACUUCCCAUCCAGGUUAACUAAUAGAACAUCACUGGUAACAAAAUGCCUCCUGCAUAUUCCUCCUUGAUAUGUUCUUCCUUCCCUUCACACUUAGCCACCAUCCUGACUUUGUGUUAAUCAUUCCCCUAUUUUCCUUUAUAAUCCUACCACUUAUAUAUGUAUCCAUAAGCAUUAAACUGUUUAUUUUUGAAAUAGUGAGUAGCAAGCUCAAAUCUAACUGUGUAAGAAAAAGAUAAUAUGGUCACUGUCAUAUCAGAAGGAAGCUUCAAGAACAAAAGGAAACUGUCCUGAGAUUGUGAGUCUGGUUUCUGUUUCUCCAACAAUUUACAGAAAACCAUUUUGAGGAAGUCAGUGAGCAGUGAGCAAGGUCCCAAAUGAAUCCUAGAAACUCAGGGCUCACCUCAGUGGGAAUCCGGCAGGGCUCAAGUAUGGGCCAGGUUUGAGACAUCAGGAAGGAAUCUGUUUGGGGAGAACAAGCUGCUCUGUAUUUUCUGUUUCUAAGCUCACCAGGGCCUAUCUCUUAGGACAAGUUUAAAUCACAUUUCUGUGCAGUGAUGUGAAUGCCCAGCAGGUGGGGCAGCAAGACAAGGAGGGAAGAGUGGAAACUUCAUAAAGACACGGUCAAAGGAAGCCCAGGAUAGAGGAAUCUUGGCUAGUCUCACCGGGCAUUCUGCCUCAGGUUAAGAAGAAAGAACACAGAGGUGCUUUGUCUUGGUGAUAUGGGACCCUUCUGGUCCUCCAUGUCCCAUGUACACUUGGGAUCCUGGGAUCUCUCUUCCCCAUAGCCCUGGGAAUUAUUUUUCCACUAAGUUUUGUAUUGGGUAUCCUGUUUUCCGUGUCAUUUAUAUUCCUUUUUCUUGGUUUCUCUCUUAGUGGCACAUACCCUUCAUUAGUUUCUAGAGAAAUUGUUGAUAGGAACUUUUAAUCAGAUCUUGCAUGUCUGAAAACUCCGAAGGCAACCUUCUUUUUUAUUAUUAUUAUACUUUAAGUUCUAGGCUACAUGUGCACAAUGUGCGGGUUUGUUACAUAUGUAUACAUGUGCCAUGUUGAUUUGCUGCACCCAUUAACUUGUCAUUUACAUUAGGUAUUUCUCCUAAUGCUAUCCCUCCCCCAUACCCCCACCCCAUGACCAUUUUCACACACAGACCCUGGUGUGUAAUGUUCCCUGCCCUGUGUCCAAGUGCUCUUCUAAUUGUUCAAUUCCCACCUAUGAAUGAGAACAUGUGGUGUUUGCUUUUCCGUCCUUGUGAUAGUUUGCUCAGAAUUAUACUUUCCAGCUUCAUCCAUGUCCCUACAAAGGGCAUGAACUCAUCCUUUUUUAUGGCUGCAUAGUAUUCCAUGGUGUAUAUGUGCCACAUUUUCUUAAUCCUGUCUAUCACUGAUGGAUAUUUGAGAUGGUUCCAAGUCUUUGGUAUUGUGAAUAGUGCUGCAGUAAACAUAUGUCUGCAUGUGUCUUUAUAAUAGCAUGAUUUAUAAUCUUUCGGGUAUACACCCAGUAAUGGGAUCUCUGGGACAAAUGGUAUUUCUAGUUCUAGAUCCUUGAGGAAUUGCCACACUGUCUUCCACAAUGGUUGAACUAGUUUACACUCCCACCAACAGUGUAAAAGUGUUCCUAUUUUUCCACAUCCUCUCCAGCACCUGUUGUUUCCUGACUUUUUAAUGAUCACCAUUCUAACAGGUGUGACAUGGCAUCUCAUUGUGGUUUUGACUUGCAUUUCUCUGAUGACCAGUGAUGAUGAGCAUUUUUUCAUGUAUCUGCUGGCUGCAUAAGUGUCUUCUUUUGAGAAGUGUCUGUUCAUAUCCUUUGCCCACUUUUUGGUGGGGUUGUUUUUUUCUUGUAAAUUUGUUUAAGUUCUUUGUAGAUGCUGGAUAUUAGCCCUUUGUCAGACGGGUAAAUUGCAAAAGUUUUCUCCCAUUCUGUAGGUUGCCUGUUCACUCUGAUGGUAGUUUCUUUUGCUGUGCAGAAGCUCUUUAGUUUAAUUACAUCCCAUUUGCCUAUGUUGGCUUUUGUUGCCAUUGCUUUUGAUGUUUCAGUCAUGAAGUCCUUGCCCAUGCCUAUGUUCUGAAUGGUAUUACCUAGGUUUUCUUCUAGGGUUUUUAUGGUUUUAGGUGUAACAUUUAAGUCUUUAAUCCAUCGUGAAAUAAUUUUUGUAUAAAUUGUAAGGAAGGGAUCCAGUUUCAGCUUUCUACAUAUGGCUAGCCAGUUUUCCCAGCACCAUUUAUUACAUAGGGAAUCCUUUCCCCAUUUCUUGUUUUUCUCAGGUUUGUGAAAGAUCAGAUGGUUGUAGAUGUGUGGUGUUAUUUCUGAGGCCUCCAUUCUGUUCCAUUCGUCUAUAUCUCUGUUUUGGUACCAGUACCAUGCUGUUUUGGUUACUGUAGCCUUGUAGUAUAGUUUGAAGUCAGGUAGCAUGAUGCCUCCAGCUUUGUUCUUUUUGCUUAGGAUUGUCUUGGCAAGGUGGGCUUUUUUUUUUUUUUUUUUGGCUCCAUAUGAACUUUAAAGUAGUUUUUUCCAAUUCUGUGGAGAAAGUCAUUGGUAGCUUGAUGGGGAUGGCAUUGAAUCUGUAAAUUACCUUGGGCAGUAUAGCCAUUUUCACGAUAUUGAUUCUUCCUAUCCAUGAGCAUGGAAUGUUCUUCCAUUUGUUCGUGUCCUCUUUUAUUUCGUUGAGCAGUGGUUUGUAGUUCUCCUUGAAGAGGUCCUUUAAAUACCUUGUAAUUUGGAUUCCUAGGUAUUUUACUCUCUUUGUAGCAAUUGUGAAUGGGAGUUCACUCAUGAUUUGGCUCUCUGUCUGUUAUUGGUAUAUAGGAAUGCUUGUGAUUUUUGUACAUUGAUUCUGUAUCUUGAGACUUUGCUGAAGUUGCUUAUCAGUUUAAGGAGAUUUUGGGCUGAGAUGAUGGGGUUUUCUAAAUAUAUAAUCACGUCAUCUGCAAACAGGGACAAUUUGACUUCCUCUUUUCCUAACUGAAUACCCUUUAUUUCUUUCUCUUGCCUGAUUGCCCUGGCCAGAACUUCCAACACUAUGUUAAAUAGGAGUGGUGAGAGAGGGCAACCCUGCCUUUUGCCGGUUUUCAUAGGCAAUACUUCCAGUUUUUACUCAUUCAGUAUGAUAUUGGCUGUGGGUUUGUCAUAAAUAGCUCUUAUUAUUUUGAGAUACGUCCCAUUAAUACCUAGUUUUUUGAGAGUUUUUAGCAUGAAGGGCUGUUGAAUUUCGUCGAAGACCUUUUCUGCAUCUAUUGAGAUAAUCAUGUGGUUUUUGUCUUUGGUCCUGUUUAUGUGAUGGAUUACAUUUACCAAUUUGCGUAUGUUGAACCAGGCUUGCAUCCUAGGGAUGAAGCCAACUUGAUCAUGUUGGAUAAGCUUUCUGAUGUGCUGCUGGAUUCGGUUUGCCAGUAUUUUAUUGAUGAUUUUAGUAUCGAUGUUCAUCAGGGAUAUUGGUCUAAAAUUCUCAUUUUUGUUGUUAUUGUGUCUCUGCCAGGCUUUGGUAUCAGGAUGAUGCUGGCCUCAUAAAAUGAGUUAGGGAGGAUUCCCUCUUUUUCUAUUGAUUGGACUAGUUUCAGAAGGAAUGGUACCAGCUCCUCUUUGUACCUCUGGUAGAAUUCAGCUAUGAAUCUUUCUGGUCCUGGACUUUUUUUGUUUGGU
rnacentral:lncRNA from 1 species